AGAAAGAAGAAGAAGAGAGGGGAGAAGAAGAGAGAAGGGAAAAUGAAGGGGGGGGUUCCUCCUCCCGUUUUUUUUUUUGAAUCCCAUUUUUUUUUUUUUAAAUGUUUGCAGUGGUGCUUAAAUUAGCUUCACAAACAUUUUAAUUAAUUCUUAUUAACUGAGUUUAUAUAAUAAUGCACUCAUUAUUUACAAACUAUCUUUGACGCACAAAUUUUUU
rnacentral:misc_RNA from 1 species